rnacentral:rRNA from 1 species
GACGAACGCUGGCGGCGUGCUUAACACAUGCAAGUCGAGCGACGUGCAGUUCCUUUCGGAGGGUGUAUGGAGCGGCGAACGGGUGAGUAACACGUGAGUAAUCUGCCGUUUGGCUUCGGGAAUAACUUCGGGAAAUCGGGGCUAACUGCCUGAUGUUUACUGUCUGCUGUCAAUGGUGGGUGGUGGAAAGAUUUUUGGCCAGGGGAUGAGCUCG